GAUGAAGAACGCAGCGAAAUGCGAUAAGUAAUGUGAAUUGCAGAAUUCAGUGAAUCAUCGAAUCUUUGAACGCACAUUGCGCCCGCCAGUAUUCUGGCGGGCAUGCCUGUCCGAGCGUCAUUUCAACCAUCAAGCCCCGGGCUUGUGUUGGGGACCUGCGUCCGACGCAGGCCCUGAAAACCAGUGGCGGGCUCGCUGUCCACACCGAGCGCAGUAGCACAUCUCGCUCAGGGCGUGCGGCGGGCUCCUGCCGUGAAACCCCCCACUGUAACCCCAAAGGUUGACCUCGGAUCAGGUAGGAAUACCCGCUGAACUUAAGCAUAUCAAUAAGCGGAGGA
rnacentral:misc_RNA from 1 species